rnacentral:rRNA from 1 species
AUGCCAUGGCGGCAGCCAACACAGGCAUUGAUGGCACGGAAGCAGCUCAAGGUGCUCCAUGCCCUCGACAUUGCGACGACGCAGGUGUACCACUUCACCGCCAUCGCAAUCGCCGGCAUGGGCUUCUUCACUGAUGCCUACGACCUCUUCUCCAUUUCCCUCGUCACCGACCUCCUCGGCCGCAUUUACUACACGGACGGUGUCCUCCCUGUCGGCGUCUCGGCGCUUGUCAACGGUGUUGCACUAUGCGGCACGGUGGUCGGGCAGCUCUUCUUCGGAUGGCUCGGCGACAAGGUGGGCCGGCGGCACAUCUAUGGUGUCACCCUGAAGCUCAUGGUCAUCUGCUCCAUCGCCUCCGGCCUCUCCUUCCACCGUUCACGCAAGAGCGUCAUUACCACGCUCUGUUUUUUUCGUUUUUGGCUUGGCUUUGGCAUCGGUGGCGACUAUCCACUCUCCGCUACGAUCAUGGCGGAGUACGCAAAUAAGAAGACUCGUGGCGCCUUCAUUGCCGCUGUAUUCGCCAUGCAGGGUCUAGGAAAUCUUGCUGCUGGAAUAGUUGCCAUAAUCGUCUCACAGUCAUUCAAGCAUGCACCAGGAUAUGACCAUGACCCACACUGGCACGCUGACUAUGUGUGGCGUAUAAUUCUCAUGGUAGGCGCCAUCCCUGCUAUCCUGACUUAUUAUUGGCGCAUGAGGAUGCCCGAGACGGCACGCUUUACGGCGCUCAUAGCUAAGGACAUCAAGAAAGCUUCUUCAAACAUGGCCUUGGUCCUUAACAUCGACAUCGUGGCUGAAAUAGAAGAGGCUGAUGUGUUCAACAGAGAGCAUGAGUUUGGUUUCUUCACCAUGGAGUUCGUCCAUCGACAUGGCCUCCACCUCCUUAGCACCAUGAUCUGUUGGUUUAUGCUUGACAUGUCAUUUUACCUGCUCAACCUGUUCAUGAAGAACAUCUUUACCGAAGUUCGAUUCAUCAAAGAUGCAAGCACAAUGAGCCCGCUUGACCAAACAUACAACAUAGCAAGAACCCAAGCUCUCAUUACCGUCAUUGGCACGUUGCCGGGCUUCUUCUUUGCAGUCAAGUUCAUGGACAGAAUUGGUCGAAUCAAGAUGCAAAUUGUAGGAUUCAUUAUGAUGAGCGUCUUCAUGCUCGGGCUUGCUAUUCCACAAGUGUUAUCGAAAACGAUAUGGUAUUCUCGCUACGGGAACAUCUACUUCAUUGUCAUUUACUCGGCAAUAAUGUUCUUCACUGACUUCGGCCCCAACUCGACCACUUUCAUCCUUCCAGCAGAGAUCUUCCCAGCACGUAUGCGGUCAACAUGCCACGGCAUAGCCGGUGCUGGCGGGAAGGGUGGUGCUAUCACUGGUGUGCUUUGGUUCCUAUAUGCCAAUAAAGGUCUCCCAAUUAUUCUCUUCGUGCUAGUUGGUUGCAACAUAAUUGGCUUGGUGUUCACGCUCAUCUUACCAGAAACCAAAAAGAGGUCCCUUGAAGAGGUCACUGGUGAAAGAGGAAAUGAUGAGGACCAGGGAGGUUUUUCUCUUGUGAGAACACCUCUAUUUACUAUAUAG